CCAAUAGCGUAUAUUAAAGUUGUUGCAGUUAAAAAGCUCGUAGUUGAAUUUCGGGGUUAGUAGGUCGGUCGUGCCACUGGUAUGCACUGGUUCUACUGAUCCCUCCUUCUUGUAGAACCGUAAUGCCAUUAAUUUGGUGUUGCGGGGAAACAGGACUGUUACUUUGAAAAAAUUAGAGUGUUUAAAGCAGGCUAACGCUUGAAUACAUUAGCAUGGAAUAAUGAAAUAGGACGAUCGAUCCUAUUUUGUUGGUUUCUAGGAUUGACGUAAUGAUUAAUAGGGAUAGUUGGGGGCAUUAGUAUUCAAUUGUCAGAGGUGAAAUUCUUGGAUUUAUUGAAGACUGACUACUGCGAAAGCAUUUGCCAAGGAUGUUUUCAUUAAUCAAGAACGAAAGUUAGGGGAUCGAAGACGAUCAGAUACCGUCGUAGUCUUAACCAUAAACUAUGCCGACUAGGGAUCGCAUGAUGUUAAUUUUUUAAUGACUCAUUCGGCGCCUUACG
rnacentral:rRNA from 1 species